UUCACUAAAACUCUAGGGCCCCAUUUGAUUCGGGGGGAUAAGCGGGGAUAAUGAAAGUUAUCCCCGCUAUUCCGCCAAACGGGAUGAUUUGUUGCUAGGAUAUUUUAUCUCGGUCAAAUCUUGCUAUUCCUGGUUAUUCCAGAAUAGCAAGGUAUUUGCUAUUCCACCAUUUUGGUGGGUGGAAAGGUGCUAUUCCAAUACUUAAUUUUAAACUUAAUUAAAAUUAUAAAUUAAAUUACAACUAAAUUAUAUAAAUAUAAUAUGUUAUAUAUUAUAAUACAUUAUUUUUAUUAUAAAAUUAUUAAUUGUACUAUAUUAAUACAUAUUAUUUAUAUUUAAAUACUAUAGUAAAUUUUAUAAUAAAUUAUAUUUAAAUAUUAUAAUAAAUUCUUUUUAUUAAAUUUAAGUUUAAGUAGAAUUUUAAAAAAAUUUAUAAAUUUAUUAUAAUAAAUUAUUUUUAUUAAUUGCUCCCACCCUAUAAAUAUUAUAAUAAAUUCUUUUUAUUAAAUUUAAGUUUAAGUAGAAUUUUAAAAAAAAUUAUAAAUUUAUUAUAAUAAAUUAUUUUUAUUAAUUGCUCCCCCCCUAUUCUUAUUUUAAAAAUUUAAGAUUUAAAAAUUUAAAUUUUUGAAAUUUAUAAUUGUAAGCUCAAAAUUAAAGGUUAUAAUUUUAAAUUCUAAAUUUUAAAUUUUAAAUUUAAAUUUAUAUAUUUUAAAUUUUUGAAAAUUAGAACUUAAUAUUUUUCAAAUUUAAAUUUGAUCUUAAAUUUAAAGUUUGAUUUUUAAAAUUUAAAAUUUAGACUUAAAAAUUUGAGAUUUUAAAUUUAAAAUUUUAAUUUCAAAUUUUGAAAUUUCAAAGUUAAAAUUUUAAAUUUAAAAAUAUAAAUUUUAAAUUUUAAAUUUAAAUAUAAUAAGAGGGUAAUAUCAUUAUUUUUAGUAAUAAAAACUCACUAUCCUUCUUAUUCCAUCUUACCUAACCAAACGCUAUUUUUUUUAUUCCCGAAAAUAACCUAAUUUUCAUCCAAACGCAAAAUUGAUCUAAUCCCCACUUAUACCUCAAUUUAUAUCUAUCUCUAGAAUAGCCACUUUUUACUUAUCCCCGAACUAAACGAUACCACUAGAAGUUU
rnacentral:lncRNA from 1 species